UCACAAAAUCUGUCAAACAUUUUAAAAAUAAAAUGUUCUUAAUUCACUCUCUCUCUCCCUUUGACGAGAAAAUAAUCGCAUCUGACCUCCUCCUUCUCUCUUUUCUCUCCCUUCUAUUUUUCUCUAAGUAAAAUGAAACAGUCAUCAAUCAGCCAACACUGGCCACACGGCUGGUGAACCACUAGAACAGCCAUCAACCAUUAGUCACCUAAGCCACCGGAGAAUCGUUGACCAGCGCUGCUGCGACACCAGCAAUAGCCAAUAACCUCUGCGCCAUCGGAUAAAACACAAACUUCACCUGCAAGGUUCUUGAAUACCUUGUUGCUGAGAUGCAUAAUAUGAGCUUGUGAGGGAUUCGAUGCUAAGCUUUGCCAAUUGUAUGCAUCUUUGUUAAUUAUAAAAGGUUUUCUUCUUAACUGUUGGAUCUUCUUCCUUGGUUUAUUACAGAUCUCGAAUUUGAGGUAUGUUUUCUAUUCCAAAUAGACAACCCUGUAAACUUUGGAGCUCCAAUUUACUCAAUUUUUAAGUUGUGUUAGGUUCUCCAACUUAUUUAAUCCUUUCUAGUGAAAUAUAAAUUGUGAAAGAACAUUUAUGAAACAAAGAUGUUAAGAUUAACCUUUGGGACGGGAAAUCCUCUUAUUGAAUGUCACAAUACCUUUUAACUUUCUUUUUCAUGCUUUGGUAAAUAUAACAUAUUAACUUUCCAAUAUCAGUAAGGUAUAGAUGAUGUUUAUAUAUGUUAUUUUACAUAUAUACCAAAAAUAUCUUUCUUUUCUUCUUGUUUUACUAUAGUAGACUAGCACCUCUCUUAAAAAAUAGAUUUUCAUGUGGACAGAGCUUAUCUUAGACUAUUUGUCCAACCCAUAUUUAUAAAUUUAUGUCACAGAUACCAAUGGUAAACUAGGAAUUAGAGGAAAUUGAGGGGAAGUCUAAGUAAUGUCACUUGGUGAGUGUAAAGGUAAUGUCUGCUGGCUGGUUCAUCUUGGGAUCUUGCAACAAGUAAAGUUUUUAAUCUGUGUUUGUAAGAAAGCAGAUCAAUCACGGAUAUCAAUUCGGGAUAAAGGGCUUUAUGAGAGGUCUCAUUCAAUCUCAUACCGAAAAGGAAGGGACAGAUAAUGAAAAAUAACCUGACUGAUUUAGGAUCUUACAGUAAAGUGUUGAUCGUUUACUUCCCAGCAUCUGUAUAGUUGAAAGAUAGGUAAACUGAUAUCCUUUUUCCAUUUAGUUCAAUUUUGGAAGCAUUUAAAAAUAUUUACAUCUCCCCUUUUCACUUAAUCCAAACUUGAUGAUACAUGGAGCCACAUGUCUCGACUUCACCCCUGAUGCACCAUGAAAACAUAUCCUGAUGAUACAUUUGAUGUCAUAUACAGUCGGGAUACUAUCCUUCACAUCCAGGUAUCAUAUCUCUGGCUCAGCUUUGCUCACAGUUAUGGAUCAAAGCCCUGUAGCUCCAUCACUUGAUAUGGCUUUUUUACAUCAAGAUAAUAAAGACCAAGAUGGAAGAUCACAAGCAUAUAUGAAUAGAGAAAAUUUUUUAAAGAGUUUAGAUUAUUUCUCAUAUCCAAGUAAACGAUAACACAUUUUCUUGAGUUUAUGAGAGAAUUGCAAGAGGCCAUCCUACUGUUGAUAUACCAGAAGUUUUGAGGUGUUGGACGCAUGUCCUACAAUGUGUUCAUAAGCAGUCCCUUCAAUUGGUAUAGGAGCCUGAUAUGCUCUCUUUUGAUUGUUUUUUACUUUCUGCUUCUCCUAUGGAGGAAUUUACUCAUUGGAGUCACUCUUGUAGUCCUACAACUACUACUCAUCAUCAUUAUGAUCAUCAAGAAUCUGGAUCUUGGUGAUGAUACGAGAUUUAUAGAGUUCUGCAACUUUGUUUUUAUGCAAUAUAAUAAGAAGGAUAAUGGUUCGAUUGAUCUUUUAAAUAAAAAGAAUAUAGAUACUGGACUUGGUUAGAGCGUGUGGCCAGGAUUUUGCAGAAGGUAAUCGGGAGAUAACAACAUUUCUGAAUGAAUAUAGGAAAAAAUUAGCAUGCAGCUACAUUCAGAAGCUGGGAAAGGUCAAUUUGAAAUUGUGUUGGGGUACACUGAUUGUGGUAGAGCAGCAAAUAACUUAAUAAUUACUCAUGAAGUUGCCAAAGGAGUUGCAAGGAAACAUGGUCUACUAGCAAGCUUUACCCCAAGAAUUCGAAUUCAAGAAAAGGAUUACUUUGCUAUUUUUUGGGUGACCGUUUAUCUCUCUCUCUUUAAUUUAGGCGAAAGAAAGAUGUUAGGUAGAGGUGACAAAGGUAAGGGAAAAGUUGAUCCUACGAAAAGAAAAAAGAAAAAACAACCUCCACCUUAUAAACGACCGACGGGUAUUCAUAUAUCUGAGGAUCGAUUUACUAAUGCGCCAGCAUGACCUUCAUAUUCUAGGUCAUCUCAGUAUUCGAUUCCUGCUCCUAUGUAUGCGGGGCCACUUCAUGGGUCUACACCAACUCAUUUUUCUUCUAUCACCAUGCCACCACUAUCACAGUACUAUCGAAUGACCGCUGGCACAUUUGGAAAUCUACCAUCCUUAGUACCCUCCUGUAGCAGCCACCCAGGUUUGCAUAGUGAUUCUGCUGGAUCUAUCGGGUUAUCGGAUCUUCAUCUUGAGGGCACGCUAUUCGGUGCUUCAAAUCCGCCCACGCCAGUGCAUCCACCAGCACUUGCUCUACAGCCUAGAGACAGAGAUGAUUAUGGGAGGUGUUAUCUUAUUCACUAUGGAACAGGGUUUAGGACGGAUGCUGGAGUUGGAAUAAUUGCGAGGAAUUGCAUUUGCCGGCACUUCAAUGUCUACUGGACCAGUUGGCAAAAGGUUCCAGAAAUGGACAGGGAAAGAAAGUUUAACGAAUUUCAUAAAUAUUAUCGGUGGGAUGAUGCGAAUGAAUGUGCUAUAAAGAGAAUUUUUCAUAGAAGAGCUAGAUCCAGAUUUAACGGUCAGUUAGAUUAUGCCAGAUCCAACGUGGUACGACCUGACUGGAUAAGGGAAUCCUUAUGGCAAUAUUAUAUUCACUAUUGGAAUAGGAAAGAAUACCAAUUGUUGAGGGUCAAAGGAAAGAAAGCCCGGGCAUCAUCCAAGGGUUGCUCCCUACAUACUGCGGGUGCAGUUAGUAUGAUUGAUGUGGAGGAAAAAAUGGAAAAAAAAAGGGUAGAAAGAUACCACAUGAUGAGCUAUUCGAGGAGACGCAUAUGAAAAAAAAACCCGACUGAUGAAGAUGUCUAGGUUGAACCUCGUGCAAAAGCUGCCAUGACAAUAUAGGCAGCUCCUUUGUGAGUUUCGUAGUAGUCAGCCUCCUGAAAGUCAGGGUGACCCAAUACCCCAACAUGUAGAGGAGGAGUUAUGGGAACAAGCUAUGGGUCUUGUAGUUAGAGGCUAUUUCUAUGGAUACCACAGAAAUAAUUUUGGCAAGAAUGUUAGGUCUUCGUUCGAUCCUACAUCCUAUACCUCUUCAGUUGACAGAGAAACCAUUGAAUCAUUACAAAAUACGAUUUCUAAACUCACUGAAGAACUUGCGGAAUAGAGAGAAAGGGCG